UCCUUCGGGGGGGUGGGGGGGGGGGCCGCGACACCCUCCACCUUCUGGGGCGUUUGAGGACUUCUGAUGGCGACGGGACGCCAAGCGCAUGCAGUAUUUCCGCUGAACGGGCCUUCGGAGGGAGAAGGAGGUGAAUCGGUGGCUGUUGGGAGGAGGAGCAGGAGCCUCGGUGACGCACACACACACGCACACACACACACGCACUAGACGGGCUGCAGAUGUUAAUGCGAUGUUGUAGAUACAGUGACGCGUGGAUGAUCCUUCAGAGGUGACGGCUGUUUAAACACGUGCUCAAAGUCCUAAAAACAGACGCACAGAUGUGUGCGUUUAAACAUUCAGAGUCACAAGGUUUUCUGUCGGGACAUUUGGAUCUUCAGUCGUGUCAAAUAAAAUAGUUUAUAUUGCAUCUGCUGCGUUCAUGUCACCGUUUUACUAGUAAUCAUUACAACAUAUUUAUAUACAUUUGGAUUUAAAUACAUGUUUUUCUUGAACAAUUUGACAAUAUUGUCUUAGUUUGAGUUACUACACUUAAUUUCCCUGAUCACUGUGACUAUAUUCUAAAUUACCCGUCAUACUGAAUGCUUGUAACUUGCUUUAUUUAACUAAAUAACUGAAUUAUUAUCUAUUGGCACACGUGAUCCUCCCAUCCAACACAGGAGCAAUUCCAUCUGUCAUGUUAGAUUUUCUCCAUUUAAAUGCAAUUGAUUGAUUUCUUGCUGUUAGCUUCUCGCUAACCGAAGGCCAGCGUGUAGAAAACCUUCAAUCUGUGAACGCGACCCACCGCGUAUAUUAAUGUUAAUUAAUUACAGAUAUGAAUGAAGUUCAUCGUGUCAUCGCAUCAGAAACCCCGGUUGCAUUUUCCCAGCGUCCCCUCGCCGCCGCUGUAAGUCCGAGGGGCCUCUGGGGCCGGCCGGGCGGAUCUAACGACCUCCCCGGUACCCGACCAGAUGUCCUCACUGGGCCGGCUCAGAUGGGCCCGGCCGGCGGCGGGGGGAAGGUCAGAGUCACACGGUGGGUUAAACUGGACCCGUCGUGGCGCUGGCUCCGGCUGCGGCGCCGGGCGGCGGGGAUUAUUUCAAUUAAGGCUCACGCUGGCUCGACGCGGGAUUACAACGGGGUUUAAAGUGGCGGGACACAUGUGAACGCAGACGGUCAGCUCCCAGGGAUUACGCGUGUGACAGACAGGGAGCCAUAAUUAGUAUUCAUACCUUCUUUCAAUGUGAUUUCACUCAUUUCAGCCCAGUUUAUCUGUUUUGAAUCUGUUCCAGGUCCCUCCGUUUACAAGCGUACAUUUGGAUUUGUUUGUAUUUUUUAUCUUAUGUGUGUCUGAAAAUGUGCUUGUAUUUCAAAAUGUUGCAAUAUCUAAAAGUGAAAUAAUCCUUUUUUAAACACAUAUUGCUUCAUUAUUCUUGCAGCUGCACUGAAAAUGAGUCUUUUGGAGACAAUAUGACCCGUGACCUUUUUCUUCAAACAGUUGAAUUAAUCCUUUAACACCCGGUUUUCCCUUCAAGUUGAAGAAGAUGCAUAUUUAUGUCAGUGAUUUUACACCUGCUCACCGUGUGCUGCGUUAUGUGGAAACAUAACGGCCAUCGAAGUAGAUUUAGACCAGGAUAACGGGGAUCUGUGACCUCUGACCUCUCACACAGAGGAGGAGGUCUGCUGCUGCUAUCAGAGGAGAGGAAGGUAAAAGCUGGUCUCACAUAUUGAGGGGGAGCCUGAAAGGUAAAACCAGCCCACCAGGGACGGUCGGCCUCGCCCCCCCGCGCUGUAUGCGCGGCAUGAUUUGGACAUGAAUAGCAUUAGCGCCUUUAGCAUUCACGGCGGCGGCCGGCGACUCCGUCUGGCAUUUCACCUGCGGACGGUCCGGAUUGAUUAAGAUGCGUCGGCUCACCCGAUUGGCCCUAAUUCUCCGCUCUCGGGGAGGGGCACAUUCCAAACGCCGCCCGAUCAAUUAAUGGAGCCGUAAUGCGUUUCAUUUUCAUACGAGGCAGGAGGCUUCGGUUCGGGAAAAAUCAAAUAUCGGCCACCUUCGGGCAGGCGAGGCUCACGGCGAGUAACGAAUUCAAUACGGCGCCGGCGCUUUUCGUCUGCUUUGCAUUUUCUAACGCUCGAUGUUUGAUGUUUGAGACGUGUCAUCAGCAGAGAUUCAGAACAUGUUGGAAACCUUCGCUGUCGCUCUCUCAGAAUCACCAACACACACCCGGCUUUGCUCCGGCAGGCCAACCGGGCGCCGAAGCUCAAACGGUCGGGAAGACGCUCAGAGAGACGCCAGAGACACACAAACCUCUGAGGACGCAAAUGAAAAGCAGGCAGACGCCAAACGACUGGGACGCUCUCACACAGCGUCCGGCGAGGAGCGACACGCCGCUGGAAAAAGUCCCCAGCAACGCGCCUCCUGAUCCGGUUGACGCCCGCCAGCUUUUUGCUCUUUUCACUCAGUGUUUCCCCACCAACAAAUAUUCAUUGGGUUCGUCUCUCCAGUGAGGCCUUUGUGACAGAAUCCCUGCACGGAGCAGGAGGAGCAGGAGGAGCAGGAGGAGCGGGAGGAGCAGGAGGAGCGGGAGGAGCAGGAGGAGCAGGAGCAGGAG
ensembl:lncRNA